CGGCCAUUUUGUUUAGUAGGCGGGGUCAUCGGACACAUUUUUUAAACUAUAUACCACUAUGAUAAUUGUGGCCAAGUUUGGUUAAAUUUGGCCAAGUAGUUUCAGAGAAGAAGACUUUUGUACAAAGUUACAAAAAAUUACGAAAAGUUGUUAAAAAUUGACUAUAAAGGGCAAUAACUCCUUGAGGGGUUGACUGACAAUUUUGGUAUUGUUGAUUUAUUUGUAGGUCUUAC
rnacentral:lncRNA from 1 species